rnacentral:rRNA from 1 species
GACGAACGCUGGCGGCGUGCCUAACACAUGCAAGUCGAGCGGAGUCGAUCGACGGAAGCCUUCGGGCGGAAGAUGGUUGACUUAGCGGCGGAUGGGUGAGUAACGCGUGGGCAACCUGCCUCGAAGACCGGGAUAACAGACCGAAAGGGCUGCUAAUACCGGAUGUGGUCAAGGAUCCGCAUGGAUUUUUGAUUAAAGGGGAAACCCGUUUCGAGAUGGGCCCGCGUCCUAUCAGCUAGUUGGUGAGGUAAAAGCUCACCAAGGCGACGACGGGUAGCCGGCCUGAGAGGGUGACCGGCCACACUGGAACUGAGACACGGUCCAGACUCCUACGGGGGGCAGCAGUGGGGAAUCUUCCACAAUGGGCGAAAGCCUGAUGGAGCGACGCCGCGUGAGCGAAGAAGGCCUUCGGGUUGUAAAGCUCUGUCUGGAGGGACGAAGGAAGUGACGGUACCUCCGGAGGAAGCCACGGCUAACUACGUGCCAGCAGCCGCGGUAAAGUCACGUCG